rnacentral:rRNA from 1 species
CCUACGGGAGACAGCAGUGGGGAAUAUUGCACAAUGGGCGGAACCCUGAUGCAGCAAUGCCGCGUGGGUGAAGAAGUACUCCGGUAUGUAAAGCCCUGUCAGCAGGGAAGAAAAUGACGGUACCUGUCCAAGAAGCGCCGGCUAACUACGGGCCAGCAGCCGCGGUAAAACGGAGGGGGCAAGCGUUAUCCGGAUUUACUGGGUGUAAAGGGAGCGUAGACGGCAAGGCAAGUCUGGAGUGAAAGCCCGUGGCCCAACCGCGGGACUGCUUUGGAAACUGGGAUGCUGGAGUGCAGUAGGGGUAAGCGGAAUUCCAAGUGUAGCGGUGAAAUGCGUAGAUAUUAGGAGGAACACCGGUGGCGAAGGCGGCUUACUGGACUGUAACUGACGUUGAGGCUCGAAGGCGUGGGGAGCAAACAGGAUUAGAUACCCUGGUAGUC